CAGCAGCCGCGGUAAUUCCAGCUCCAAAAGUGUAUAUUUAAGUUGUUGCGGUUAAAAAGCUCGUAGUUGGAUUUUGGGCGCAGGCGGCCGGUCCGUCGCAAGGCGUGCACUGACCGUCCUGGCCUCACCCCCGGUUCUCCGCCGGUGCCCUUGACUGAGUGUCGGCGGCGGCCGGGACGUUUACUUUGAAAAAAUUAGAGUGUUCAAAGCAGGCGGUUCGCCUGAAUAAUGGUGCAUGGAAUAAUGGAAUAGGACCUCGGUUCUAUUUUGUUGGUUUUCGGAGCGCGAGGUAAUGAUUAAGAGGGACGGACGGGGGCAUUCGUACUGUGCCGUUAGAGGUGAAAUUCUUGGAUCGGCGCAAGACGAACGACUGCGAAAGCAUUUGCCAAGAAUGUUUUCUUUAAUCAAGAGCGAAAGUCAGAGGUUCGAAGACGAUCAGAUACCGUCCUAGUUCUGACUAUAAACGAUGCCAACCAGCGAUCGGGGGGCGUUAGUUUGACGACCUCCCCGGCAGCUUGCGGGAAACCAAAGUCUUUGGGUUCCGGGGGAAGUAUGGUUGCAAAGCUGAAACUUAAAGGAAUUGACGGAAGGGCACCACCAGGAGUGGAGCCUGCGGCUUAAUUUGACUCAACACGGGAAAUCUCACCCGGCCCGGACACAGUGAGGAUUGACAGAUUGAGAGCUCUUUCUUGAUUCUGUGGGUGGUGGUGCAUGGCCGUUCUUAGUUGGUGGAGCGAUUUGUCUGGUUAAUUCCGAUAACGAACGAGACUCUGGCUUGCUAAAUAGUUACGCGACCUUCUCGGUCGGCGUCUAACUUCUUAGAGGGACUAGUGGCGUUUAGCCACACGAGAUUGAGCAAUAACAGGUCUGUGAUGCCCUUAGAUGUUCGGGGCGCACGCGCGCUACACUGACCGGAUCAGCAUGUGCUCGCCUUGGCCGACAGGUCUGGGUAACCCGCUGAACCCCGGUCGUGCUAGGGAUAGGGAAUUGCAAUUAUUUCCCUUGAACGAGGAAUUCCCAGUAAGCGCGAGUCAUUAGCCUGCGUUGAUUACGUCCCUGCCCUUU
rnacentral:rRNA from 1 species